CAAGAAAAUACUAUUUUUAAUUAUAAUUCUUAACAAAUAAAAUUAAGGAUAUAAAUUUAUUCUAUCACUUUCCUAAACAUUACCUAAAUGCGCUACAAAAAAUUUCUACAAAAAUUGCUACAAAAAUUUUGUAAAGCGAAGUUUUAAUGAGCAUCUAUCUUACCAACUAACAGAGGGAUAAAGGAUAACAUUAUAGCCAUAACAUCAUCAAGUCUCAAUUGUGUUUUGGUAAGUUAUCUCAUACGUGCGUAGGUGGAUAAGUAUCAUAAUGGUACAUGUUGAAAAAAUUAUUAGAGGUUUAGGUAUAAGAGGAGAGAUACGAGUGUGUUGUAAAGUAACUGGAGAGAAGAGUGGGGAUGAAGGGUCGGCAACCCUACGCAAGCACCCUUUAGCCCUUUAACGAGACACCCGAGCCGAGUGCCUAAAUUCUUCUUUUUUUCCUUUCUUUUCUUUCUUUUGUAGGGCUUUGCGAUCGCCCGAUACCACGUAUAGAACGACGACGCAGGACGAUUCAACAUCUUUUCUGAAUAAUUCUUUGUCAGAACAAAGAAAUAAGAAAAAUCUGAAGGAGCCAUUUUAUGGGACGCGAUGCGAACGAUUUCCAGUGAAUGCCUAGACCCUAUUGUUUAAUUCCAAGCAAUCGAUAUGCUUACGGAUUAUUCCUUUUUACAGAACAAAUAACAACGAACAAAAAGAAUUUCUGAAUAAUCUCUUUAUGGAGUUAAAAACGUGUAAAUUCGUUGGCAGUUUAUCGCGGCGUUUCAAUUAUUUGAAAUAUUGUUUAACAAUGAGAUAUUUCGUAUUAAACGGUUUUGUUUCUUUAUCUACAUUCACGCAGCAGACCUUAAAGAUCGACACGGCCGAAGAAUUCUAGCCAGCUCGUUAGAGUUCUCUCAAGAAAUUCUUAAGGAUCUUCUCUUUAAAAGAGUCGCAUUAUACGCAGAUAAUUGCGAAAAUUUUCUCCGACCAAUGAUCUUUCGGUACAGGUAACUCAUCUCUGAACUUUCUUAUCAAGGAAAAGCCGUUGAAAAAAUAUUAAGAAGUUCUAUGAAUGAAAAUGUUACAAAACCCUUGUAGGCAUAUUGAAAUAAUUUUACUUAAUACGCCGUUAAUGUAAUAUUGCUUCUUUUUCAUAAUUCAAAGUAUGGUCAGGUAUCAAUAACCCCAAGGAAAGAAGAAUUCCUUAUAUUUAUUCAAAUUAAUAAUAGUUAGUGGUACAAAGCUAGAUAUUUGAAAGCAAUCUUUCACUUCUUUUGGUUGUCCUAAUAGUAGAAAAUAGCGAUUUUUUAUGCCAGAAUUUCUGUAAAUUAUCAACAACGAAUCUGAUAAUGACAGAGACUAAAAAUAACAGUUAUUCUCAGAAUUUUAUGAAAAAUAUCGAAAAGGUUUUUGACCAUCUAUAAUGUUUAUUCAUAAUUAAAAUCAUUUAAACUAAGAUAUGAAUUCUUAUACCAUAACUUUUUUAAUUUAUAAUGGUUACGAUCCCUAGUUAAUAGUACACAAAAUUGUCAAAUAUUUCUAAUAGUGAUCAAUUCCGUAUUUAGUAACAUGACAAAUAUCAACAUUAUACAAUUACUUAAAAAAUAAUGAGUAAUCGUAUCAAUUUUAGUAAUAACUAGUUCAAUCGAUACUUCCAUAAAAUUGAGAAGCACUGUCGGUUAUUGGGUUACAGUUUCACGCUCACGGUGGUCUGUCACCUUCCUGUGCAACCUUCGCGGAGGAACAAACACGUCUUCAGCGAUCGACAGAAGUAAUUUAUAUCUCUUUCAUAUUAAACUUCUUUCUUCGUUCAAAUUCUAUUCGUCGCUUUUUCAUUAUAAUGUGUCUAAUAAUAAUUUCAAUUUUUACCACCACGCUAAUGCAGCAAACUUCGCGUAGUCAAAAAACCUAUGAAAUAGUAUGAAUUAUUUCGUUGAAUCGAUCGGAUCAGUGCUUGCGGUUUUCGAACAUAGUUCUUGAACUUUUGAUAUUUUUACGCUUCAAGAUUAAUCCCAUUAAUUCAUAAGUGGUAUCAUUAAGUUAUUGGGGACCGUAACAAUUAUAGUUAUCUAUAACUCAACGAUACUACUUGAACAUUAAUCAUUGCGAAAGUGUAAAGGUGGAUGCUGAAAAGAGAAGUUUCAUGAAAUAUAACAUAUUAUAUAUCAAUCAAUUCAUUUAAAGUCAUAGGUUACAAAAAUACUAAAAUUAUUUUGCACGAGAUUAAUCCCAUUAAUCCCUAUUGCGAAAGUAUAAAAGUGGAUGCUUCGAAGGGAAUAAGAAAAAGGGAAGAAGAGAAAGGAAGGAACGUGCGAAAUUUGGCGCCCGAUAGCGCCACGACGGUGCAUUCUCAAGGAAAAUAAACCGUUCGCCGUCUGACUAUUUGAUUUAUGAGCGCGGGCGACAACCUACCGCACGGCAUACCGAAAUAGAUCAAGAGGAAAACCAUUGCAAUGCAUGCGCGAGUAGCAUAACGGGAGAGAAAGAAAUACUAAGAAUCAGACAGAAGAAGAGAGAGAAAGAAGAAAAACGAGAGUAUCACGUACAAUCUUACAAGUCUUGAUGUUAUCUCGAACAAGUUAGAUGUAUCGGAUAAUUUCCUGAAAAUAAGGUUCACGUCAUCGACGUAAGGAUCAUUUCGCAUCGCCAACCAUUUUAUUGAGUUUCAUAGAACAAUUAUGACUGCGGUAGAAUAACUUGAGAAUGGUAUUUUCCCCCUAUAUCCAUAACCAUACUGUAUCUUUUAAUUUAAUUACCUGCGCGGAUUAAUUUGCGGAGCGAGUUCGUACGUCUGUAGAAGUUGGCAAGGGAAGGAGGGAGAAUGUUGAAAAACGCGGUAAAAGUACUCGACAUGUGACGAACAGACCGUGAAGGAAGGCAAGGUACAUAUACAUCGCGGUACGACAAAUCUACACAGUGACUCAUAAAUACUGAUGAAUCGGAAACGAUGGGGAGAAAGAUGUUGCGACCCUCCUACAGGGAAAUCAAUUAAUCGUUUACAAAGUCGGGGUUGUCGGGUGACGUUAAGACGUAUGGAUAAGCCACGGGAAUCUAAGAUUGAUUUUUGCGACUGAUACAUUUAUUCCUCGAACCGGAUUCUUCCAUCUUUCUCUCUCGUAUCUUCUUUGUACCGUGACUGUUACUUCCGUUCAAGGUGCUGUUCCACGAAACGUCAAAGAAGAAUGAGAAUCAAGGAAGCAACGUACUGCCUUGAAAGGAUAACACACUCACAUGCAUACCUAUACCUUAGUAUAGCGGUAAUAGAAUUGCUACCGUAUUACACGUUUGAACGAGUGUAAUUUCUUUUCAAAUCAAAUAAUCGAAACGAAGUAAAUGAUUAAAAUUAAUUAAGAAUUCUUUAUCAAGAUGAAAGAAAAUAUCUUAGGUAAAUCACCCCAUAUAUCAAUAUGCACGCACAUACAUCGCGUGGGCGCUGACCAUUAAGGUGUCGUUACGACAUCAGUCGCAGAAUACACACGUUUGUAAAUACCACUUUACAUGGAUUACAUUUGAACGCCUGUAUGUUGUACGAUCCAUUCCGUAUUUGGGCUACCAGCGUUAGAGUGGAUCUUCGUACACUGGACAUACAUCACGAACAAGUCCUUAUAUGCGCACAUUGUAUAAGAGAAAAUGGAAAAACACAAGGAAAGAUUCCCAAUCCUUUUUUCACAUUGGAUCAAUUAAUAUAGAGUUUCAGUUCAUCGAACUGAAACUCGAGGGUUCACAAGGCUAGCAAACUUCUGUUUGCAUUGAUCCAUAAUUGUUCUGCAGUUUACUGCACAUCAGUAUAAUCGUAUCUCGGGCAAAGUUAACUGGUUUAUUUGAGGAACGCACCCUUUUAAGACCCCUUUCAGUGUUUGUAUACUUCUCCACCAUGACGAGCCGGAAAUGGAUCUUUAUAUCUAACUAGACGAACGUAUGUAAUGAUCAAAGCAAACAAAAAGAAUAAUAAGGGGGAUAAUUCUGGCCAUAUUUUUAUCAUACGGUGCGAUGGUAAAAAGAAUAGGAUGUUUAAUUUUUUGCGUGGGAAGGUCUGCUGAGAUAGAUUAACAUAGCGACGCUGAAUGUUUAGCACAUGCAUUUCCUAUCACGAUAAAAUCGUAAGGAGAGGCCUGCCGCAUUGUUGGAAUACUCCGCUGAAGUGUUUAAACACAAAUGCUUCCAGCGGUGUAACCUCUAUAAUAAAUCUGUAAUAUAGAAGUCCGAAACUUUUAUUUUCGCUUGUAGUGUACUAUGCGGUAGAACAAUGAUCUCUAGUUCUGGCUUAAAUUUCUUCCAAUUCAUUGUUACUUUUAUCAAGGGACCUAUACAGUUCUCGUUAUUACGACAAGGGAUGUGUCUCCAUCCAGAUCGUUGCAAUCGGAAAUACACCCCGAAUCACCCCCUUAUACUACCAUCCUUCUCUACAUCAAUAAUAGCCACCCGAAAUGCAGUGCUUCUCAACUUUAUCUUUUAAAACACUUACAAAAUAAGCAUUAAUCGUUAGAAAUACUUGUUCACAUGCACACGAUGAUAUCGUUCAUACAUUCGUUCGUCUUGAUCGACGUAUAAAGUCUCGACUCUUAAACGGCUCAUUAUUUAAUUCGAACUUGCGCAGUGAUAAAUGAUUUAAUUAAACAACUACUUACAUAAUAAUUCUACUUGAUGAAAGUAUGUUGCGCAUAACAAAAACAUAAACGAUCUCUGUUUUGCAAUUUGUAACGUUCUCUAUAUGCGCGUCUAUGCGUGUAUACGUAGGUAGAUUUAUAAGAUUUAACAAUCGGAUUCUAAAUGUACAUUAAUAUCUGGAAUUCGUAAUUUUGUUACUCGUUUAACUAAAAAAUUAUAUCAGUACCUUGCAGCUUGAAGUCUAGGCUAUAAGUUUCAAGCAUUUUCAAAGACGUAAUCUCUAAUAUUAAGAGAUUAGCAAACACAAAAUCGCAGAAUAGUUUCGUAAAUAUUUGCUUACUACUAGAUUAGACGGGAUGCAAACAGUGGUAACUGUAAAACGAUACGCAAUGAUGUUUCCCCGUUUCCAUGCUCAUCGAUAAAACAUCAGAUAAGAUAUAAUAAAAUCACUUUGCACUUUUAGCUAUAGAAAUGAAUGAAAAAGUAUUUUCAUAAUAUAUCUGCUAGUGACAACUUUAUCCUCCACGGACAACUACAUUUUCCCUUUCAUACGUGUGAAUGUGCCAGUGAUUUAAAUCAAUUUCUAAUAAUAAGAUAUCUCAAUGAAAUUCACGAUAAAUACAUUAUUCCAGGUAAAAAUAAUAUAAAUUAACAUACCUUCAUACUAAGAA